UUCUGUCAGACCAACGAUAAAGCCCCCUCCAACAAAAGUAGCUGCAGAGAGCACAGCACAAGCACACAUGGAGGAAUUACACCGUGACCUUCAGGCUCAGUUUCACUCAAUGAAAGUGGCUACAAUAACAGCCAAAUAUCUACAAACAUGCACUCUCACCGGUCAUUGUGAAGACUCCUACUACCAUACUGAUCCCUCUGUUUCCCAGCAAAGUGACCUCUGUCCGGGCUGCUUGGCUGCUUUUCUGCACCCGUUUGGACUUCAUCGAGGCCCACAGACCAGUGCCCAGCACCAUCAGGUAGAAGACCACCAUUACCACCAGCCCUGGGAUGUUCAGAGCCAUUGUGUGCUGCCUUGAUGACUGGCAAAACGUGGAUCCACUGAUGAAAAAAUAAA